UCAUGGCGCCCUCUUGUCCUCUCCCCGUAGCAUUUUUUGAACAAAUCAACGACAAAAAUUCAAAUUUCUGGCUACCAUUACGUAUGUUUCAGUAAAAAGAAACCGUAAAAACAUAAAGUAUGCCUUGACUAUACAUGGAUGACACGGGACACAACACUACAAAACCUAGGAAAAUGUUAGGCAAAUCCCCUCUGAUAAUAGACAAAUGUGCUUAUCUCUAGCCUCUAGUAGAAAUAGGAAACAUGGUGUAGCGUACACUGUAUUUCAUCGUCACUCUCUCAUUUUCAGUCGCGCUUCCUGUCCCUGCUACCUACGUCUCUGUCUUCGUCCAUCCUUGCGGCCGGCGACCUCGAGCGGUCCCUUGACGACCUGCUCGACCCGCCAGGCAAACAGCUCCGCGGUGCCACAAAGAGCGUUGGCCUGCAUGCAUACAACAUUCAAAUGAGAUACCAUCUUAAAUGGUCGGUACAAACCAAAAACUACCUCUAAAAAUCAAGACAUGGCAUCGAAAUUUCAGAAGAAAAGUAGAAGCAGUUCCUCCCGUCAUAGUGGUGGACUACAUGCUUUGCCCCUGCCGUUGCAAGCAACAUCAAUUUGGAGAAGAUUCAAGCACGAAGUUUGUGCUUAGGCCUCGGACAGGUCGCCGCUUAGGCUUUGGCAGGUCGCCGACAUCACGAGGUGAGUGGUCAUGGUGGCGAGAUCUGGCAGGUACGGGUCGGAGCCUUUUUCUGGUGACUUACUGCUGCCAGGAUCGGUCUUAGACGGCGGUGUCGCGCAAGGAUGCCGGCCUGCUGGCGACGAACAAGAGAUCAUAAGCUUUAGAUAAUGGAAUGUCGGUCUCAGAAUUUCAUCUAAUAAAUUACGAAGGAGCUAAGAAAUGAAAAACGGUGGGAAGAACCUCUCUGAAUCUACUGAAAAAUACAUCUAUGAACCUUAAUCCCCAUUCACUCUGAACUUCCCUCAAAACCUACUGUGUGAUCCGCCGCUGUAAAUUCAGACGAGCACCAUGUGACGCAGUUCAAUUAUCCAAGAGGGUAAGGAGGAAGCAACAGCAGGGGGAGGGUCGCUGCUCUUCUUAGCUUUCCAUCAACUGAUUAAUUACAAUCAUAUCAUAUGGGAAGUUCUGACACCACGUUCAUUUAGACUUAGUGGUGUGUUUGCAAACUGUCAAGGAAAGACAUCGCCAUCUGGUGCUGUAGGUUUAUUGCAGCAGCCAUUAGAACCAUCCGUCAAUUGAUGCACAAUUGGCAACUGUUAUAUACCACUACAAAUGUCAUCUCGUUUGGUCAUACAAAUGUCAUCUAAAAUAAUAAUCAGUUAACACCAUACUGAUGAGACUAAAAACUUACAGCAAAGGGGAUACAGAUAGACUGAAGGUACCUGCGAGCGAGCGACAGGAAUCUUGGAAAGCAGCAACCGAGACAAAAUAAUCGGUGAGCAAGGUGCUUUAGCGGCCGCGUGAGGCUGCGGCAGGAGGUAGCUGCAGCCCCCAGUGGCGCUGGUCGGUCACCCUGGUCGCCCACGAUAGUGCUUGGGUGUGUAGGGCGGCGCUGGGCGACCAGCUGACGGCACGCCAAUGGCUCAAGUGGUCGGGCGGGACGAUGGGCGGAGCAGUGUAUCGACUCUGCGGCAAUCGGCGAACUACGUGGGCAGGCGGCCAAGGACCGCGGGGGGAUCCUCGGCGGCAGCGGUUGUAGCGCAGAGCCGCGCGCAGGGGUCCGGCGGGGUGGGAUCCGACAGUAGGAGGCCCGGUGGUGCGGGUUCCGGGGAGGUCGCGCGGCGGCGGGGGAGCCAGGGAGAUCGCGCGGCGGCGCGGGGGAGGGGAUCUGGGCCGGGGCAGGAAGUUGGUGGUGAUGGGAUCGGGGUGGGUGGUUCUUUUUAGCAGUUUCGCGAGUUCAGAAACAUGUUCAUCGCCUAUAU
rnacentral:lncRNA from 1 species